UACGUAGGGGGCAAGCGUUGUCCGGAUUUAUUGGGCGUAAAGAGCGUGUAGGCGGCCAGGUAGGUCUGCUGUGAAAACUCGAGGCUCAACCUCGAGACGCCGGCGGAAACCAUCAGGCUAGAGUCCGGAAGAGGAGAGUGGAAUUCCUGGUGUAGCGGUGAAAUGCGCAGAUAUCAGGAAGAACACCCGUGGCUAAGGCGGCUCUCUAGUACGGUACUGACGCUGAGACGCGAAAGCGUGGGGAGCGAACAGG
rnacentral:rRNA from 1 species